rnacentral:misc_RNA from 1 species
GGAAGGAUCAUUAACAAUAAUGAAUGGCUUUAAAGCCAAAUUUUCUCGUGUUGGGGAGGUCAUGUUCUAUGGGGGAAGGAUAUUAAGGCGGAUCCGUCCGUCCUGGACCCCGUACGUGGCUGACCCGUAUGGCACAAUUUUCUCACAUUCUUUAUUAGACUUACUCGUGCUGAGUAGUCGCCCUAAAGAAACCAAAACAACUUUUAACAAUGGAUCUCUUGGCUCUUGCAACGAUGAAGAAACGCAGCGAACUGCGAAAACGUAAUGUGACCUGCAAUCUUCGCGAAUCAUCCAAUCUUUGAACGCACUUUGCACCUCGUGACUUCUGUCACAAGGUAUAUUUGUUUGAGUAUCCUACAACAUCUCACCGCCUCUAGAGGCAGAGUGGAAUUUGAGGGCAUCGACCGCCCUCCCAACAGGGAGGGGAACUGGUCGUUCCUUAAAAUACGAGACUCAUCGUGGAAGGGCUCCGCGGGAAUUUGUAGCAGACCAUUGGGAUAAUAUCCCUGACAAUCGUCCAUCAAACUCCUUUGAGCGUUGCCCGGCCCAGAGCCUAUCUCAUUAUUUGGAGGCAGCAUGAUGAUGCUGCUCUUUCAAUAAUAUCACUUUCUAUUAAAGAUCUCAAUCAAAUAAGGAUACCCGCUGAACUUAAGCAUAUCAGUAAGCGGAGGAAAAGAAACUAACAAGGAUUCCCCUAGUAACGGCGAGUGAAGCGGGAAAAGCUCAAAUUUAAAAUCUGGUGUCCAACAGGACUCCCGAAUUGUAAUUUAGAGAGCCUUCUUUGGGGAGCGUCAUUGUGGUCAAAGUUCUCUGGAAAGGGACAACAAAGAGGGUGAGAUUCCCGUCUGGGCCACGUGAUCCGCUGCCCGAUCAAUUAGAAAGCUCUAAGAGUCGGAUUGUUUGGGAAUGCAGUCCAAAAUGGGUGGUACAUCUCAUCUAAAGCUAAAUAAUGGCAAGAGACCGAUAGCGAACAAGUACCGUGAGGGAAAGAUGAAAAGAACUUUGAAAAGAGAGUUAAAUAGUACGUGAAAUUGUUAAAAGGGAAACGAUUGAGACCAGUGAUGCAUGCAGUCCUCACUAAAAGCUCUAACCAGCAUUUGGAUUUGUGGGCAGUAUCGCAAGUUGACGCUUCUUUCAGGUUUUGGAAAAGACUGAAGGAAAGGUGGCUCUGCCUUUGGGCAGCUGCUUUAUAGUCCUCCAGGGAUACAGAACCUCAGAGAGAAGACAGGUAGGGCCGCAAGGCCCACGUCGACGAAAUGGUCUUAAACGACCCGUCUUGAAACACGGACCAAGGAGUCUAACAACUAUGCGAGUAUUUGAGUGGUACAAACUCGAGUGCGCAAAGAAACUGAACGUGUGGGAUCUGUUAAUCUAAGGAUUAGCAGUGCACCAUGGGCCGGUCCUUGUCUCUGACUUGGAUUGCGCUAGAGCAUAUCUGUUGGGACCCGAAAGAUGGUGAACUAUGCCUGAAUAGGGUGAAGCCAGGGGAAACUCUGGUGGAGGCUCGUAGACAUUCUGACGUGCAAAUCGAUGUUCAAAUUUGGGUAUAGGGGCGAAAGACUAAUCGAACCAUCUAGUAGCUGGUUCCCUC